rnacentral:lncRNA from 1 species
CCACACACCCUGCCAUGUGAGGCUGGAACAUGGUCUGGUAUGGACCCGGAGCUCAGGACAUGUGGGAAAGCAGGGCUAAGAGUCCUGGGCCAGGCCAAUGCAGUGACUCAAGAAGAAGCUGAAGUGCUCCUCAGGCCUUGUGAACUGACCGAAGCAACUGGCGAGGUUCAAAGUUUUAUUUCAGGGAAGGCAGGGUUACCUAGAGCCUGGGUGGGGGUUAAUCAAUGUACAUUCAUCAUUAAUUUAUGCAUGUAAGGGGCUUUGGAGCACAGUCGUCAUGCUGGUUUUGAUAACGCUAACUCUAUCCACCCUGCCAGCUGCUGUGAUGUCGUGGUAGUCUGUGUUGCUGCAUGCAGAAUUAUGGUGC